CCACGGACGACAGAGGCCACGCAUCGACCACAACGGUGUACCCAAAGAAACGAACGGAAACGUCAAAAUGUUCAUAUUUUACUAAAUUUUUCUAACAAAUUCUUUUAAAAUUCGAAAAAUUCCGCGAGUCAUGCCAAUAACAAUUCGUCGCGCGUAAAACUAUGGCAAGUAUAACCCUCGCAACGGCGUUGCACCCAUGAAAAUCGCGAUUUACAUUUAUAUAACCUCAGUUUUCGAUUCGCGUUCGCACUUUUUCCAAACGGAAAGUUUAAUAAAUGUCGCGUUUGUUGGCGCAGGACCUUAACGAAAACGGGUCCCUGCUCGCGGUGGAGAAACUGCUCGAGGAAUUCUUUAGUCCGUACACGAGCAACGGCCGAAAACAUGAUAUCGAGGCACAGCUUAACUCUUUCAAAACGACGCCCCAUCUGUGCGGCCUCUGCCUUUACUUCAUUUCUCAUACGUCUAGUCAAUACGUGACGAUGUUUGCCUUACAAACUUUGGAGUCUGUGAUAAAACUAAAUUGGAACAAUACCGAUUGGCCGACGCAGGAGGAGAUCAAGUCCACCUUGCAGACGAAUCUUAUAUUCAAAAGCCACAACACCCCACACUUUUUAAAGCACAAGUACGCCAAGCUCCUGGUCGAAAUUGCCAAGUACGAUUGGCCGACCAAAUAUCCGGAGUUUUUUGUUAAUAUACUGGAGCUUUUAAAAUCGACUGAGCAAAAUCAACUCAUCGGGUUGAUCAUGCUAAGGACCGCCUGCGAGGAGAUAAUCGGCUUUAAUACGACGUUUGAAAACUGUCCUAGAAAAAAAGAACUAACAAGACUGCUGCACGGUUACAUUCCAGGCGUUUUCAUGCUACUAACCAAUAUUUUGGAGAAGUUUGGCACCAACUCCCGUCAUGCUGCCACGGCUACGCCACCGCCUUCACCGACGCACCCGACGACCAGCCCGAGCCUGGAACAGCAACUCGCCACUGCCACUUUCCGACCAGACGUCAAGGCCCUCAGCCAAGAGGUCUUGAACACUGUACAAUUCAUGUUCGCGUGGGUACCGAUCGAGAGCGUGCCCGCUCGCAUCAUCAGGGCCAUAUUUUGCUUCACUAACGUAUCGACUUACUCCCAGGACGACGACGACCUUUGCGUGUGCGCGAUGUCGACGAUAAACGAAAUAUUUUACCGAAAAUGCAGCCCGCCAGGCAGCGAGACGUUUUUUAAAGAGAUUUACGAUCACGUGAUCGAGUUGCUGAGGAACCUCGCCAACUCUUGUUCCUACCGUAUCGACAGUUAUGACGAGACGUUCGUGAAGAAAUUAUGCGAGCUGCUGGUGCUGAUAAUCGAACAGCACCUGUGGAGGUACGAGAAGGACCCAACGUUCUCCUCCCUUGAGUUCCUCUCCUUGUUUUUCCAAUACACAAUGCAUCUACCGUCGGUGCCGUGUUACCUGCGCUGCCUGACGGUGUGGACGGCUUUUUUCAAGCAGAUCAAACCGGAAAACGCGCAAAAAUACUCGGAAGUAUUUCUUGGACUGGGUAGUGCCUUGAUCAAGAAGAUCCAGUUUACCUACAAUUGCGCCCAGCUGAUCGAGAUCAACACCACCGAACCUGACGAGGACGACAAGACGGACUGGCAGCGCUUCCUCGACGCGUCCAUCGACAUAAUAUCGCGGGCAGCGCAUUACGCCUUCCUCGACCUCUUCAACCAAGCUUUAAACGGUUGGAACGCGUGCAACGCCGUCUACCGGCAGCUGGAGAACGCGGCGGACGCGCGCACGCGCGCCUUGAACUUCGAAACUUCUGAGACUGAGCAACUGUAUUAUAUACUUAGGGACUUUUCUACCACGUGCUUUACACUGGGGAGCCUCGCCCACCAUUUUUACACCACCGACGAUGAACAGCUGCAGAGGACAGCGGCGUCGACGGUAUACAUUUUGAUAGACCAUAUCUUGCAAAGUGCCUCCAAGUCCGCCACGGUGCGGUAUUACGAGCUGAAGGUGGCGGAUGCGCGCCUGACCCAGUGCUUCGUUGACGCGCACAGCGAGCUGCUCGCGUCGCUCAAGACGUGGCUCGGUUGGAUCGAAGGCGGCAAAAACCACGUGACCGCCGGUCACGACGUCAUCUUGGACGCGGUGUUGCCGCUCCUCGAGGACGGCGCGAGGGUGCCGGUCAAGAUAGGCCGUUCGGCCGCCCACCUCCUGCUGGAAAUUGCUAGGAAACCGAACGCGGUCGCGGGCCACCCAGGCGUCGCGAGGUUUAUCCGGGCGGCGCCCAAUCUAAGAUACGCCGACAGGGACACCGGCAACACCGUAUGCUCGGUGGUUUGCGAGGUUUUGCUGAAACCGUUGAAGUCAACCGACAAGGUCGGGAUCGAGGCGAAACGAGCGGUCAUCGCGGCUUUCUUCAACGAUUUUACGGGCGAUUUUAGGCUGCUGACGCCGACCACGCCCGAAAACAGGCUGGGUGACGUGGUGCGCCGCCUCCUUCCGUCGCUCGCGCACGUCGUCGAGUAUUGCCGCGGAUUUUCGGUGGCGGCGAAGGGCGAGCUGACGUGCGCACUCGGGCCGACGUUGGACCACGCGUUGAGCCUAUUCCCGACGUACGUCAAGUACGCGACUGUCCACGAGGAGUUUUCGCAUUUUUUCAUCGCGGCACUGAAGAAUCUGCAGGCGCAGAUCGGGCUCGAGUUCACCAAGAACGCCAUACAGGUGUUCCUCCAGGUCGCUAUCAGCGAACAACACUCAAAUAAUUUCGGGGGGCUGCAGCGUUUGCUCGACAUAUUCUGCAUAGUGGUGCGCGAGCCCUCCAGCAAGGCCUUCCUGCCGGACAUUUUGCACCUCUGCAUGGAGAACAUCUACCCCUUACUAUUGCCACGGUCGAUCGAAUAUCCCGACGUUUUCGUCAGUUUCCUGGACCUACUGUACAGCAUUCUGAACUUUCGAUGGCUCUACUUCUACAACUCCCAAGUGAUGGCCGGUUACUCGCCUGUCGGCGACGAGACCGCCGGCCCGGACAGUCCCAAACGACCGGAACAGCUCCUCGCCAUGCUGAAGGUGUUUUGCGAGGCUCUGCUCCACGAGGACGUCAAUAUCUUCCGCAGGAGCUUGGUCAUUUUGCAGGAUCUCAACCACAACAAGCAGCUGUUCCACAAGGCCAUAUUUCGAUCGACCUUGCUGCCGGAAUUGUUGAGGGUCCUGUUGAACGCGUUGCUCUACAAGAGGCACGGGCUGUCGUGCGAGGAAAUCGGUUUGGUCGUCUACAGCAUGGCCGAGGUCAGUUUCGAAGGGUUCUUUACGAAAUUCCUGCCGCAGUAUAUCCAAGACUUGAAGGAACUUCUUCCCCAGCAAUACGAGUUGUUGCUCGCGAAUUUUAAUCCGACUAACGAUCGGGACGUGCCGAGUUUUGUUCAGCACCUGCAGAGCUUCUCCAACGAUUUUGACCGGUGCCGCGUGUCCAAUCUCGGUAGCCCUUCGGUCCUUUAACGUCAGUUAUUUUAGCAAUAUGUCCGGUUCGUCGCUCAAUUUGUGUUAUUCUUUAAGAAGAAAGUUUUUUUUUUAAUAAAAAUGUUUUUUAAUUGUGGAUUUUUUUUUGUCGCCAUUGAUUUCAAGACCGUUUUCGCUGUCAAAUGAUAGACAUAACCUAUAAAUAUGUUUUAUUUACUCUCGUAACUACUCCGUAAAUCACGAAAAAAGACAAUUUCGUCAGUAUAUCAUCUUCUAGUAAAGACAAUACAUUCAUAACUUUUAAUGUAUUAGAAAAAGACAAUAGCCAAUUUUGUUGUCAUGGACGAAUUUGCAAAAUCAAGUUUAACUGCUAUCUUUUUGUUAAACAAAAAUUCUUGGUCAGCAUAAUAAUCAAUUAAAGAAGUAUUUGCUAUGAAAGAUAAGACCUUUAACUUUGAAUCACUGGGUCUAGUGGUAUCUUUGCUAAAAUUUUAUUCAACAAGAAAAGGAUAACGGAGGACUUUUGUUACCGCUGUCCGCAAGGGCGGGUGGUACAGGCACUAAAUAUUAGUUUAGAAUAAAAAAUCGUUUAAAAUCUAAUGAAAACGUAAUAAAAUCACCAGGAAAGAAGAGACCUCUAAAAAAGACAAAGACGACUCAUUUAAUUGAUGUAGUUAAAUAUAAUAUACGAGACAUGGCGUAUAGUGAAAGACAUCAUUUAUAACCAUGCAAGAUGAUUAUUAUGAUUACUAUUACGAUUAAUUCCAUUGUUUUUUUUAGAAAAAACAUGUCACAUUAGCAACUUUAAAUAGCAGGCUUAAAGAACAAAAACUUAUUUUUAUCAGCAAUAGUUCUUUGGCAGACAUUGAGUAUUGCCCAGCGCAUUCGUGUUAAAUUCAAAAAAGAUGAUUAUCGACGGUAUCUUGUGGAGCACACCAAUGUUUCAUUACUUUGAACUAGAUUUUUAAGAAGUUAUGAGUAUGUCAACGCUUCCUCUCGUCAGGUUAUUUUUAUGGAUGAAACAUGGAUAUUUUCCAAAGGGAAUGCAAAACAGCCUUGGCCAAUAUAAUUCCAUAAAAAGUGUAAGAAGACCACUGGGCUUUCAAGGGAAGUGAUUUAUGGAUGAAGCAAGCUUGGUGUGCCUGAAGCACUUUGUAACCCUUCUUACCAGUGUGAAUUAAAUGCUAUUGAGUUAAUAUGGUCUCGUGCUAAAUAGACAUAUCGGAAGAGAGAGUCAUAUGGAUGAAAAUGUUUUAGCUACGUCGAAUGAUACUCCAUUACCAAUUACAUCCGAGGUUUGGAAAAACUGUGUGGAACAUACCAAUAAAAUUAUUUUAGAUGGUGUAACAAAACCAUUUUUAAUGAAAUAGAGCCCAUAAUAAUUUCACUGGAUUCAGAAAGUGAUACUGAAAGUGAACUUAGUGACUGAACUUCAAAUGAACAAAAUGACAGGCUCUCAUUUAGAACAAAUUAGUUCAUUUGGUACCUACUAACUAAAGUUAAUAAAAUAUUUUUUAGAAACAAUGUCCUGAGAUUUCUACGUAAACUUAACACAACAUAUUUUGCUUUUAUAUAAUUUCAUAAAAUUUAUAUUCAUCUAUUUGAGACUUUGAGAAUCAAAUUGUGUCUUAAAAUAAAUUGUCCUUUGUAUCUUGUGUUAAAAUUCGUAAUAAAUGUUUGUUAUUGUGCUUUUUAUUUAAAUAUCUAAGUUAAACUAAGCCUAAGAUUAGCCAAUUUCUAUUAACCAAAAAUAUUCUAUCAUAACUGCGAAUCUGCAACAAAUAACUCAC